rnacentral:lncRNA from 1 species
AGCAGACAGGGGCACAGACUCAACAUUCCCCAGGCAAAACAGAUCCAGUUUUAUGCUCAGAGUCAGGGAAGGGGGGCUGGAAGAGCAGAAGUGUCGGAUCUUCUGGGUGUCCUGUGAAUGGAAAGUCCUGAAAGAACUAACUAAAUUUGGUCAGGAUGUGGAGACACUGGACAUUGGGGGCUUUUCUCUGUGUGGUCAUUGCAAUGCCCAUAUGCUGUCAGACUACAGAAUGGGGUUCGGGAGAAACACCAGAGAAGGGCAUAACAAGCAAUGGCAAUAUCUUAACCACACAAAGGAUCGUUGAUGAUCCAAAGAGUGAUGGCACUCUGAGCCGGACCAGUUCCUAUUUUGAGAUGACCCCUGACAACACAAAUGACUGCUCGGCCCAUUUUUACACUAACCAGGUAUGGGCCCGUAACCUAAGGGCCUACAAGGAGGAGCUUAAUUACCUGAAAGCCAUACAGCUUGGCAACCAGGCUGUGGUAGAGAACUUGAUGCAGUUUGUAGGUGCUGAGAUGGCUGAGCAAAGCUACCAGGAAGUGAUUCAUGACAACGUUGUUGGCAUUAAGGAGGACCUGGUCAGCUGCUCUGAGGUGGUACAAAAAGCAGAAAAAGAACUUCAGAGCCAGCUAGAAGGAGACAACCUGGAAGCUACAUUUGCAAUUCAUCAAGUCAGAGAGGGUUCCCAGGCAUUUGAAGACAUGUUCCGUGCAACAGCAGACAUGGCCAGCCAGCUGGAGAGUUCUGCUCGAGUUCUGCAGGUGGCACUAACCCAGCAGCUGAGGAAGAGCCUAAAAAAAGUCUGAGCAUGCACCCCAGGUCUUCUCAUGUGCUUUAUGUGUUCUAGUCUCUGUUGAUGCUAAGAUACAGAGAAACACAGUAUGAUUGGGGUAAUAAUAUUAAUGAAUGGAGUGUGUACAGCUGAUAAUUAACCUGUUGAAUUGAAACAUUAAUACAUGGGUUAUAUUGACAAUUAAACAUACAAAAAUGUAAGCAUAAAUGUUAUAGCAACUCAAAUAUUGUCUUGAAUAUAUUGUAUGUUUGUUUUAUUCCUGAGAAAUAUGUGAAUUGGUGCACCGAAUGUGAAUCCAAUACAUGUUUUUACUAAUUGUGUACAUUGUGCUAAAUGGGAUUUGUUUAAAUAAUAUACAUUAAGACUGAAAUAGGAAACGUCAUCAUAUUAUGAAAUGUAAAUAUUUUUAAAUAUAUCUUUUUCCAAUCAUUCAACCUUUAUUUAGCUCCCUCUAUCUGUGAUCGACUGUAGUAGCAACGAUUUGAACCAUUGUUCACUGUUCAUUACAGAGCAUGGAAAAUAAAUAUAUUUUUUAUGUAUUAUACA